GCUCAAGUAGCUUAACC
rnacentral:tRNA from 1 species